rnacentral:lncRNA from 1 species
UCUCAAUGCCUUCUUUUAAGGAACUUAUAUUCUCUCAGGCAUGAUAGGUUAAUGAAAUACAAUAGUCACAUCAGUAACAAUUAUUAGUGUACAACCAAUGACCUGCUCUUUGUGAAGGCUCUGAAGAAACAGAAUAUCAAGGCUUCCCAGAGAAGGAGAGCAACAUAGCUGAUGGUGGAGCAUGAGCAGGAGACACCACUCACUGCUAGGCAAAUUGCUAUCAAACAGAAGGAUGGUAUGCCCAAUGGCCAACAGCGAGACUCACCCAGUGAGCUACAGAAUCCAUGGCUGUGAUGUGCACUAGGGUAAUUAGGGGUCCAUAGAAGAGAGACAAACUACAGGACAUAUGGACUUGAGAAAUGACACUUCUUUAUGAAUGUUGUUGAAAGCCAUUAAGGAAGAAAUCAGAGUGUGACAUAAACAGAUUCAUGUCUUGGUUAAUAACUCAGUGUUGCUCAUUGAGAAAAUACUGGUGCCACAAUCAGAGACUAUCCGACUUUGGCAUCCAAAGUAAAUCUCCCCUGCAUGUGCUCAGGCAAUACCCACACCUUCCUACUUUCGUUAUAGAUGUCACCUCCUAAGGAUCUACCACCUCCCAGUAGUGUCACAGGCUGGAAAACAAAUUGACAUGCAUCCAAUAACCUACGAUUCUUCCAUUAGACACCAUCUGUCCCUGAAGGUUCCACCACUCCCAGGAGGAUGGCAGGCUGAAGACCAAACUCCCAGUGUGUGAACUUUGGAAGACAAUUAUGCAAACCACUACACUUACAAUUUCAUCUUUUUCAUUUCAAAAACACAGAUUUUGUUUUUGAAAUGUUUGUAUGUUUCUCACUCAAUAUAUAUACUUUUGAGUGAUUUUCUUC